AUUCUUAACGGUAGGAUCCGAGGGGACUCUUUAGGGAGGUUUACAUACUGUUCAGCUCUUGGAGCUAGUGUAGUCGACUAUGCGAUCACUGACAUGGACCCCUCCACUAUUAGUGCGUUCACUGUCAGACCACAACUCCCACUUUCUGAUCACUGUCAAAUCAAUGUUUACCUUAAACGACUCAGUCAGCAUCAAACCAUGAAAUAUGAGCCCUGCAAAACAUCCCAGUUAAACCGAACAUUCAGAUGGAAUCAUGACAGCGAAGCUAAAUUUAAAUCUGCUGUUGGUUCCUCAAAAAUCAUUAAUCAUAUUAACAAUUAUUUAUUAGAAUCAUUUGAAUUAAACCAAUCAGGUGUUGAUAGAGCUGUUUCACAAAUUAAUGGAAUAUAUUAUAAAUCCGCUAAAAUUGCAGGUCUCAAUUUUAUAAACACCAAACCAAACAAAAAAGCACAAAAGGAAGAAUGGUUUGAUGAAGACUGUAAAAUAAUCAGGCAGAAAUUAAGACAUCUAUCAAACCAAAAACACAGAGAACCAAACAAUCAUCAAAUUCGAACAAAUUAUGCUACAAAUCUAAGGGAAUAUAAAAAGAUUUUACGACAUAAAAAACACAUCUAUUAUACUCAGUAUCUACAAAAAAUUGAAAACUCUAUUGACCAAAAUCAAUUCUGGGAACUGUGGAACAACCUGAGCAACAAAAACCCAAAUAAUCUGGCCAUAGAAAAUCCAAAUACCUGGAAAAAUCACUUUGAACAAUUAUAUGAGCAAUUACCACCAGAUGAUUUUAAUUCAGAACAGCAACAAAUCAUAGAAAAUCUAAAUAUAUUAGAAUCUACCAUAAAAAACUAUCAGAACCCAAUUGAUUACCAAAUUUCACCGGAAGAAUUGAAUACCCAAAUUAAAAAACUCAAAUCCAGAAAAGCCUGCGGACCUGACAGCAUCAGGACGGAGAUGCUGAAGUGCAGCAGUCCUCAGCUACAGCAGGCUCUGCUCAGGUUGUUCAAUAUCGUUCUCCAAUCCAGCUGCUUUCCUGAGAUCUGGAACAGGGGGCUUAUUUCCCCAAUCUACAAGAGUGGAGACAAAUUCCACCCCAACAACUACCGAGGCAUCUGUGUGAGCAGUAACCUGGGGAAGGUGUUCUGCUGUAUCAUUAACGCCCGGAUACAGGCCUUCCUUACCGAGCACAGUGUCCUGAGUAAUGGACAGAUCGGCUUUUUACCAAAUCAUCGCACUACUGACCAUAUUUACACCCUACACACCCUAAUCCACCAACAUCUACACAAACUAAAUCAUGCUAAAGUUUUUGCAUGUUUUAUAGAUUUUAGAAAAGCAUUUGAUUCAAUCUGGCAAGAAGGAUUAUAUUAUAAAAUUAUCCAAAAUGGUGUAGGGGGUAAAGUCUAUGACAUCAUUAAAUCAAUGUAUGUCAAUAAUAAAUGUGGAGUAAAAAUUGGCAAUAAAAUGACUGAGGUCUUCACUCAGGGGCGUGGUGUCAGGCAGGGUUGCAGCUUGUCUCCUACUCUAUUUAAUAUCUAUAUCAAUGAUUUAGCGGUGUUAUUGGAGCAAUCUGCAAAUCCCGGCCUGACACUAAAUAAAACGGAAGUUAAAUUUCUUCUCUAUGCGGAUGACCUGGUGCUGCUGUCGCCCACAGAAAAGGGGCUUCAGCAGCAUCUGGAUCUGCUGGAGAAGUUCUGUCAGACCUGGGCCCUGACAGUAAAUCCUGAUAAAUCUAAAAUCAUGAUCUUCCAAAAGAAAGCCAGAUCUCAGGAAAGCAGAUAUACUUUCAAUCUAGGAGACACCGCCCUAGACCACACCCUUUCUUAUGAUUACCUGGGGCUCAAAAUCAGCGCCUCAGGAGGCUUCGGUCUGGCAGUGGAUGCACUGAAACAGAAGGCCUGCAGAGCCCUCUAUUCAAUUAAAAACAAAUUCAUUAAGAUUGACAUCCCAAUUAGAAUCUGGUUAAAGAUUUUUGAUAGUAUAAUCCUGCCCAUUGCGCUAUACGGUAGUGAAGUAUGGGGUCCACUCAGUCAUCAUGACUACACUAGAUGGGACAAGCAUCCCACUGAAGUCCUGCAUGCAGAAUUCUGCAGAAUGAUUUUACAUGUACAAAGAAAAACCCCAACCAACGCAUGCAGGGCUGAAUUAGGCCGAUACCCAUUAAUUAUUCAUAUUAAAAAAAGAGCCCUUAAAUUCUGGAUGCACCUAAAAUCCAGUCCCACAACAAGCCUGCAGUUUCAGGCACUCCUAUCCCAAGAGCUCUACCCUGAAAACAGUCCCCUGUGUCAGCUGGUCCAGAGACUGCCCAACACUCUGACCCCUAACAACCCUAACUCUCUGACCAGCACUGCUUCCCAAACACCAAUCAGGAUCACCCAAAUUAUCAAACACCUCAAAAACACUUAUCUGGAACAUUGGACAACCCAAACUCAAUCCCAAAACAGACUGAACUGCUAUCUGACCCUAAAACAUGAAUACAACCUGGCCACGUAUCUCUUCACUGUCCGAGAUACGAAGCAGAGACACAUUCUCACCAAAUACAGACUGAGUGACCACAGCCUGGCCAUCGAGAGAGGCAGGUUAAAAAAGUCCUGGAUCCCCAGAGAGGAGAGACUGUGUGGUCACUGCAGGACAGGUGAGGUUGAGACAGAGGUGCACUUCCUUCUAAACUGCCCAAAAUACACAACAAUUAGACACAAAUAUUUUGAUCAGUUUGGAAGAGAGGUGAGCGGCUUCAGAACGCUGACAGACAGCGAGAAACUGGCCAUUAUAUUAGGAGAGGGACCAUCAGCCUCCACUGCAGCCAGAUAUGUACAGGAGUGUCACACACUCCGGGACAAAGUCUCAGUAAUUAAAGCUGCAGGUCCUGUUCCAGUCGUCUCUACCAGCUUUUGCACCAGUUCCCAACAUGUUCUCCAACUGUAGGCUCAGGCAUUAAUGCCCCGGUCUCCAGACAUCUUGCUCCGGCGCCGCAGGAGGACGAGUCCUUCAUUCUGGUGAUCAGACGUUCCUCUGGUUCUCAUCUCACCC